GCCUCAUGCCUGAAAGGGCGACGUGGCAACACGGAGCGAGAAGUCAGCAGAGGCCAUAGUAGCCGCUAACACAGGGCGAAGGGC
rnacentral:ncRNA from 1 species